GCCUUCUCUCAACUGUCAGCUGCUCAGAAGUUUGUGGUGGGAGCAAAAGGGGUUGAUUUCUGCCAUUGCUGGAGCCGUUCCCAUCACUGAGUGAGAGAGAGGAGCUGGGAGAGGAGCUGCAUCCUUCUCGCCUCUGCUUUCCUCUGUCGGGGUUAGCAGAAAGGUUGAUCUCCAGAUGCUGCAGUUAAGGGCUUCAAGGACACCAGCAGGCCUUUCCCUCCUGGGCGCCUUCAGCAUCGUGCCAGGUGCAGGAUAGAGAUCAUGAUGGAGGGCCUGAUCUCCACUCGGUCUAGCAGCCUUUCCUGAGCUGGGCCUGUGCCAAAGUAAAAGUGCCCAGGAGAAGGAGUGGGAAUCGGAAAAGAAUGAAGGCAAAGCAAGCAAUGGAGGAUCCUGAUAGCUGUGUCUCCUGAUCCAUACUACAGUCCUGUAAGUGUUGAAGAACCUCUUGAAUUUGUCUUCCCCGAAGAUGGAGAGCAAAAAAGAGCUUCCCUUUCAACAUCUAACAAAGGAUCCCGUCCUGCUUCUGACGCACUGUUAUCAACACGAGUGCUGAGGUUGGCCCAGCCGGGUAAAUAUGCAUUGACAUAAUGACAAAUCUCUCCGGUGGCUGAGGGGAAUGGUGGGCCCUAGAGAAGGCAGGAAGAGGCUGAGGAGAGCAACCCCACAGCAGAUGCCCAUUUCCUUUCUGGCUAGGUUUGCAAAAGCCUCGUGUACACUCAAGGUCAAAAGGCUUUGGCAAAGAGGGGGCAUAGUUUCCCGGGAAACGACUUCACCCCAGAAGUGGAAUCCCACACCUUAGUUUACAGAGCUCCCUUCAAACUAGUUACUGAAGUUGCAGCCCAGGUUUGCACCCGUUCCAUCUCUUGAUUCCGAGUCUGGGUGCCCGACCUCCCCUCCUUCCCCUGGCUCUGCAUCCAGUGUGGGGUGCAAAUGUCACAUUCAGUCCUGGCAGGGUGCAAGAAACAAGGCUGGGCCCCACAGUGAACCAGUCUGUAGGGCCAAGCAAGGGGGCAGAGGGUGCGCUAGUGAAAGCGAUCCCCGCCCUCUCUUGGCCUUCUGCAGGGACACCUCGGCAUGCACUCACCCCCCUCAGGUGACAGUGUGGGAUUAGCCGGUCGCCAUUUGGGGCCGAGUAGGAAUUUUCCCCAUCCACCCGGAUUGGCUUGGAGGUGGCUGGUUUUUCGCCUACUCUGCACUGUUGCACUGGAAGGGAUUUCUGAUCUGGCGGAUGUUAGGAGUGGUGCCGCUAAAUAGUGUAGCCCCUUGGUCACCAUGGCAGGUCCGGGGGGGGGAUGCAGUGCCCCACCCCAUUGGUGGCAGGUGCGAUUUCCCCCAGCUGCAUGGCAGUUCUCCGCUAAAAUGAGUCAAUAAAGUGAUGGCCGUAGUUUC